GAGGGUGUAGCUCAGUUGGCAGAGCAUCGGCCUUUUAAGCCGCUGGUCGUGGGUUCGAGUCCCACCGCCCUCA
rnacentral:tRNA from 1 species